CGUACACUCCUACGGGAGGCAGCAGUGGGGAAUAUUGCACAAUGGGCGCAAGCCUGAUGCAGCCAUGCCGCGUGUAUGAAGAAGGCCUUCGGGUUGUAAAGUACUUUCAGCGGGGAGGAAGGCGAUAAGGUUAAUAACCUUGUCGAUUGACGUUACCCGCAGAAGAAGCACCGGCUAACUCCGUGCCAGCAGCCGCGGUAAUCCGGCGGGUGCAAGCGUUAAUCGGAAUUACUGGGCGUAAAGCGCACGCAGGCGGUCUGUCAAGUCGGAUGUGAAAUCCCCGGGCUCAACCUGGGAACUGCAUUCGAAACUGGCAGACUAGAGUCUUGUAGAGGGGGGUAGAAUUCCAGGUGUAGCGGUGAAAUGCGUAGAGAUCUGGAGGAAUACCGGUGGCGAAGGCGGCCCCCUGGACAAAGACUGACGCUCAGGUGCGAAAGCGUGGGGAGCAAACAGGAUUAGAUACCCCGGUAGUCCCA
rnacentral:rRNA from 1 species